rnacentral:rRNA from 1 species
AUCGAACGCUGGCGGCAUGCUUAACACAUGCAAGUCGAGCGAGCGGCGGACGGGUGGGUAGUGUCGGGAAAACUGCCUGACGUAGGGGGAUAACUACUGUAAACGGUAGCUAAUACUGCAUACCAUCAGAUGUGCUGAGAUGGGUUGAGCGAGCCGGUGGGGUAAUGGUUGACCUAGGCGACGAGCCCUAGCCGGUCUGAGAGGAUGACAGGCCACACUGGAACUGAGACACGGUCCAGACUCCUACGGGAGGCAGCAGUGGGGAAUAUUGGGCAAUGGACGCAAGCCUGAUGCAGCCAUGCCGCGUGUGUGAAGAAGGCCUUCGGGUUGUAAAGCACUUUCAGUGAGGAGGCGGUACUCGAAGAAGAAGCACCGGCUAACUACGUGCCAGCAGCCGCGGUAAUUC